AACGAACGCUGGCGGCAGGCCUAACACAUGCAAGUCGAGCGAGACCUUCGGGUCUAGCGGCGGACGGGUGAGUAACGCGUGGGAACGUGCCCUUUUCUACGGAAUAGCCUCGGGAAACUGAGCGUAAUACCGUAUACGCCCUUUGGGGGAAAGAUUUAUCGGAGAAGGAUCGACCCGCGUUGGAUUAGGUAGUUGGUGGGGUAAUGGCCUACCAAGCCUACGAUCCAUAGCUGGUUUGAGAGGAUGAUCAGCCACACUGGGACUGAGACACGGCCCAGACUCCUACGGGAGGCAGCAGUGGGGAAUCUUAGACAAUGGGGGCAACCCUGAUCUAGCCAUGCCGCGUGAGUGAUGAAGGCCUUAGGGUUGUAAAGCUCUUUCAGCUGGGAAGAUAAUGACGGUACCAGCAGAAGAAGCCCCGGCUAACUCCGUG
rnacentral:rRNA from 1 species